AUAGGUAGGAGCCUUGGAAACCGGAGCGCUAGCUUCGGUGGAGGCAUCGGUGGGAUACUACCCUGGCUGUAUUGACCUUCUAACCCGCUGCCCUUAUCGGGCAGGGAGACAGUGUCAGGUGGGCAGUUUGACUGGGGCGGUCGCCUCCUAAAAUGUAACGGAGGCGCCCAAAGGUUCCCUCAGAAUGGUUGGAAAUCAUUCGCAGAGUGUAAAGGCACAAGGGAGCUUGACUGCGAGACCUACAAGUCGAGCAGGGACGAAAGUCGGGCUUAGUGAUCCGGUGGUUCCGCAUGGAAGGGCCAUCGCUCAACGGAUAAAAGCUACCCCGGGGAUAACAGGCUUAUCUCCCCCAAGAGUCCACAUCGACGGGGAGGUUUGGCACCUCGAUGUCGGCUCAUCGCAUCCUGGGGCUGUAGUCGGUCCCAAGGGUUGGGCUGUUCGCCCAUUAAAGCGGUACGCGAGCUGGGUUCAGAACGUCGUGAGACAGUUCGGUCCCUAUCCGUCGCGGGCGCAGGAAAUUUGAGAGGAGCUGUCCUUAGUACGAGAGGACCGGGAUGGACGCACCGCUGGUGUACCAGUUGUUCUGCCAAGGGCAUCGCUGGGUAGCUAUGUGCGGACGGGAUAAGUGCUGAAAGCAUCUAAGCAUGAAGCCCCCCUCAAGAUGAGAUUUCCCAUUCCGCAAGGAAGUAAGAUCCCUGAAAGAUGAUCAGGUUGAUAGGUCUGAGGUGGAAGCGUGGUGACACGUGGAGCUGACAGAUACUAAUAGAUCGAGGACUUAACCUAUA
rnacentral:rRNA from 1 species